rnacentral:rRNA from 1 species
UGGACAGCUUGCGGGUACGGGGCAUUAGGGUUCGAUUCCGGAGAGGGAGCCUGAGAAACGGCUACCACAUCUAAGGAAGGCAGCAGGCGCGCAAAUUACCCAAUCCUAAUACAGGGAGGUAGUGACAAGAAAUAACAAUACAGAGCCUUACGGUUUUGUAAUUGGAAUGAGUUAAGUAUAAACCCCUUAACAAGUAUCAAUUGGAGGGCAAGUCUGGUGCCAGCAGCCGCGGUAAUUCCAGCUCCAAUAGCGUAUAUUAAAGUUGUUGCAGUUAAAAAGCUCGUAGUUAAUUUUCUGUUAAUUUUUAUAUACAAUGCUACGGUAUUUAUAUAAUAUUAACAUAAUUCAUAUUACUUUUUAGUAUAUGAAACUUUACUUUGAGAAAAUUAGAGUGCUUAAAGCAGGCUAUUGCCUUGAAUACUCCAGCAUGGAAUAAUAUUAAGGAUUUUUAUUCUUCUUAUUGGUUCUAGAAUAAAAAUAAUGAUUAAUAGGGACAGUUGGGGGCAUUUGUAUUUAACAGUCAGAGGAAAA